UGUGUGUGUGUGUGUGUGUGUGUGUGUGUGUGUGUGUGUUUCAGGCACUGCAAGUGGACUGAGACUAGGUCAGGGAAUUGGGUAAUUAGAUAAAAGCGGCAUCACCUAAAUGAUGAGUCUGAUGCUAUUUUUUGUAUUUUCAUCAAUUCUCAUGAAAAGACCAACAAUAACAACGUGUUAGUUCAUCUCGCACGCAAAACUCUCUGACUUCCCUAAGCUGUCGGUUACACUCAGCUCCAAGCACAUUGGUUCCUGCCCAAGAUGUUCAUGUUUUUAAAUUCAUUUAAAAA